rnacentral:rRNA from 1 species
CCAAUAGCGUAUAUUAAAGUUGUUGCAGUUAAAAAGCUCGUAGUUGAAUUUCGGGGUCAGUAGGCUGGUCGUGCCACAGGUACGUACUGGUCUCACUGAUUCCUCCUUCCUGAUGAACCGUAAUGCCAUUAAUUUGGUGUUGCGGGGAAACUGGACUGUUACUUUGAAAAAAUUAGAGUGUUUAAAGCAGGCUAACGCUUGAAUACAUUAGCAUGGAAUAAUGAAAUAGGACGUUCGAUCCUAUUUUGUUGGUUUCUAGGAUUGACGUAAUGAUUAAUAGGGAUAGUUGGGGGCAUUAGUAUUCAAUUGUCAGAGGUGAAAUUCUUGGAUUUAUUGAAGACUAACUACUGCGAAAGCAUUUGCCAAGGAUGUUUUCAUUAAUCAAGAACGAAAGUUAGGGGAUCGAAGACGAUCAGAUACCGUCGUAGUCUUAACCUUAAACUAUGCCGACUAGGGAUCGGAUGAUGUUAAUUUUUUAAUGACUCAUUCGGCGCCUUACG